CCAGACUCGCUGGGAGAAGCCGCUUGAAUGCGGUGCCGAAGGAGCAACCGCCCCGGAAACUCUCAGGCAAAAGGACCAGCGGGCGCCA
rfam:Rhizobium sp. YS-1r CONTIG.6, whole genome shotgun sequence.